AGCAGCCGCGGUAAUUCCAGCUCCAAUAGCGUAUAUUAAAGUUGUUGCAGUUAAAAAGCUCGUAGUUGAACCUUAGGCCCGUGCGGGUGGUCCGUCCUCUGGGCGAGCACUGCCUCGUCGCGGGUCUCACCUUCUGGUGAGCGUGGAUGCCAUUCACUUGGUGUCUGCGGGAACCAGGACCUUUACCUUGAAAAAAUUAGAGUGCUCAAAGCGGGCUCGUACGCUUGAAUACAUUAGCAUGGAAUAAUGAAAUAGGACGACGGUUCUAUUUUGUUGGUUUCCGGGACAGUCGUAAUGAUUAAUAGGGAUAGUUGGGGGCAUUCGUAUUCAAUUGUCAGAGGUGAAAUUCUUGGAUUUAUUGAAGACGGACUACUGCGAAAGCAUUUGCCAAGGAUGUUUUCAUUAAUCAAGAACGAAAGUUGGGGGAUCGAAGACGAUCAGAUACCGUCGUAGUCUCAACCAUAAACUAUGCCGACUGGGAAUCGGGCGAUGUUAUUUUUCGUGACUCGCUCGGCGCCCC
rnacentral:rRNA from 1 species